AAAUUCUGGAAAUGAAAAUGGAGUAACCACGGACAACAUUAAAGAAGGUAAAAACCUGAACUGUGACUCAACGGACAUAGAAGAUAAUCGUAGCACUGAUAAAGUAAAGCGUGCUGCAGUUACGGCACUCUCAGCAGCAGCAGUGAAGGCGAAACUUCUAGCAGAUCAGGAAGAGGACUAAAUACGAAAGCUUGCUGCAUCAUUAAUAGAAAAACAGUUAUUUAAGAUGGAAGCCAAAUUAGCAUUCUUCAAUGAGAUGGAGGGAGUUGUGAUGAGGGUGAAGGAGCAACUGGACAGGUCAAGGCAGAGGCUUUUCCUUGAGCGGUCACAGAUAAUUGCCGCUCAACUGGGCUUG